rnacentral:rRNA from 1 species
GGAAGGAUCAUUAUUGAAAUAAACCUGAUGGGUUGCUGCUGGUUCUCUAGGGAGCAUGUGCACACUUGUCAUCUUUAUAUCUCCACCUGUGCACCUUUUGUAGACCUGGAUAUCUUUCUGAAUGCCUAGCAUUCAGGUUUGAGGAUCGACUUCAUUGUCCUUUCUUACAUUUUCAGGCCUAUGUUUCUUCAUAUAUACCCCAAUGUAUGUUAUAGAAUGUAAUAAACGGGCCUUUGUGCCUAUAAACCUAUACAACUUUCAGCAACGGAUCUCUUGGCUCUCGCAUCGAUGAAGAACGCAGCGAAAUGCGAUAAGUAAUGUGAAUUGCAGAAUUCAGUGAAUCAUCGAAUCUUUGAACGCACCUUGCGCUCCUUGGUAUUCCGAGGAGCAUGCCUGUUUGAGUGUCAUUAAUAUAUCAACCUCUCCUCAGCUUUUGCUUGUCGAGUGUUGGAUGUGGGGGGCAUUUUUUGCUGGCUUCUAUUUCUGAGGUCAGCUCCCCUGAAAUGCAUUAGCGGAACAAUUUGUUGACCGUUCAUUGGUGUGAUAACUAUCUACGCUAUUGACGUGAAGCAGGUUCAGCUUCUAACGGUCCAUUAACUUGGACAAAUUUUCAUCAAUGUGACCUCAAAUCAGGUAGGACUACCCGCUGAACUUAAGCAUAUCAAUAAGCGGAGGAAAAGAAACUAACAAGGAUUCCCCUAGUAACUGCGAGUGAAGCGGGAAAAGCUCAAAUUUAAAAUCUGGCGGUCUUUGACUGUCCGAGUUGUAAUCUAGAGAAGUGUUAUCCGCGCUGGACCGUGUACAAGUCUCCUGGAAUGGAGCGUCAUAGA